GACGAACGCUGGCGGCGUGCUUAACACAUGCAAGUCGAACGAUGAACCGGUUUCGGCCGGGGAUUAGUGGCGAACGGGUGAGUAACACGUGGGCAAUCUGCCCUGCACUCUGGGAUAAGCCCGGGAAACUGGGUCUAGUACCGGAUACGACACUCCGAGGCAUCUUGGGGUGUGGAAAGUUCCGGCGGUGCAGGAUGAGCCCGCGGCCUAUCAGCUUGUUGGUGGGGUAAUGGCCUACCAAGGCGACGACGGGUAGCCGGCCUGAGAGGGUGACCGGCCACACUGGGACUGAGACACGGCCCAGACUCCUACGGGAGGCAGCAGUGGGGAAUAUUGCACAAUGGGCGAAAGCCUGAUGCAGCGACGCCGCGUGAGGGAUGACGGCCUUCGGGUUGUAAACCUCUUUCAGCAGGGAAGAAGCGAAAGUGACGGUACCUGCAGAAGAAGCACCGGCUAACUACGUG
rnacentral:rRNA from 1 species